UGGGACACUGUUGACUGCUUUUCAGA
rnacentral:piRNA from 1 species